CAGGCCUAACACAUGCAAGUCGAACGCUCGUAGCAAUACGGGAGUGGCAGACGGGUGAGUAACACGUGGGAACGUACCUUCAGGUCUGGAAUAACCCAGGGAAACUUGGGCUAAUACCGGAUAUCCCGGCGACGGGAAAGGCUUGCUGCCUGAAGAUCGGCCCGCGUCCGAUUAGCUUGUUGGUGGGGUAAUGGCCUACCAAGGCAUCGAUCGGUAGCUGGUCUGAGAGGAUGGCCAGCCACAUUGGGACUGAGACACGGCCCAAACUCCUACGGGAGGCAGCAGUGGGGAAUAUUGGACAAUGGGCGCAAGCCUGAUCCAGCCAUGCCGCGUGAGUGAUGAAGGCCUUAGGGUUGUAAAGCUCUUUUACCUGGGAAGAUAAUGACGGUACCAGGAGAAUAAGCCCCGGCUAACUUCGUGCCAGCAACCGCGGUAAUAAU
rnacentral:rRNA from 1 species